rnacentral:rRNA from 1 species
AACGAACGCUGGCGGCAGGCUUAACACAUGCAAGUCGAACGGGGGACGCAAUACAUCAGUGGCAGACGGGAGAGUAACACGUGGGAACCUUCCUAGAGGUACGGAACAACGCAGGGAAACUUCCGCUAAUACCGUAUAAGCUCUUGCGAGGAAAGAUUUAUCGCCGUAAGACAGGCCCGCGUCGGAUUAGCUAGUUGGUGAGGUAACGGCUAACCAAGGCGACGAUCCGUAGCUGAUCUGAGAGGGUGAUCAGCCACCCUGGGACUGAGACACGGCCCAGACUCCUACGGGAGGCAGCAGUGGGGAAUCUUGGACAAUGGGCGCAAGCCUGAUCCAGCCAUGCCGCGUGAGUGAAGAAGGCCUUCGGGUUGUAAAGCUCUUUUGUCAGGGACGAUAAUGACGGUACCUGAAGAAUAAGCCCCGGCAAACUUCGUGCCAGCCGCCGCAGUAA